rnacentral:rRNA from 1 species
AGCGAACGCUGGCGGCAGGCCUAACACAUGCCAGUCGAACGAACCUUUCGGGGUUAGUGGCGGACGGGUGAGUAACACGUGGGAACGUGCCUUUAGGUUCGGAAUAACUCAGGGAAACUUGUGCUAAUACCGAAUGUGCCCUUCGGGGGAAAAAUUUAUCGCCUUUAGAGCGGCCCGCGUCUGAUUAGCUAGUUGGUUGAGGUAAUGGCUCACCAAGGCGACGAUCAGUAGCUGGUCUGAGAGGAUGAUCAGCCACAUUGGGACUGAGACACGGCCCAAACUCCUACGGGAGGCAGCAGUGGGGAAUCUUGCGCAAUGGGCGAAAGCCUGACGCAGCCAUGCCGCGUGAAUGAUGAAGGUCUUAGGAUUGUAAGAUUCUUUCACCGGGGACGAUAAUGACGGUACCCGGAGAAGAAGCCCCGGCUAACUUCGUG